GAUGAACGCUGGCGGCGUGCCUAAUACAUGCAAGUCGAGCGAACGGACGAGAAGCUUGCUUCUCUGAUGUUAGCGGCGGACGGGUGAGUAACACGUGGAUAACCUACCUAUAAGACUGGGAUAACUGCGGGAAACCGGAGCUAAUACCGGAUAAUAUUUUGAACCGCAUGGUUCAAAAGUGAAAGACGGUCUUGCUGUCACUUAUAGAUGGAUCCGCGCUGCAUUAGCUAGUUGGUAAGGUAACGGCUUACCAAGGCAACGAUGCAUAGCCGACCUGAGAGGGUGAUCGGCCACACUGGAACUGAGACACGGUCCAGACUCCUACGGGAGGCAGCAGUAGGGAAUCUUCCGCAAUGGGCGCAAGCCUGACGGAGCAACGCCGCGUGAGUGAUGAAGGUCUUCGGAUCGUAAAACUCUGUUAUUAGGGAAGAACAUAUGUGUAAGUAACUGUGCACAUCUUGACGGUACCUAAUCAGAAAGCCACGGCUAACUACGUG
rnacentral:rRNA from 1 species